rnacentral:lncRNA from 1 species
UCCCCACCUCUGCUCUCAACUGCUUUUAUAUCCAUUCUACCUGACUCUAACUUGUAGGCAUUCAAAUCUCCCAAUAAAAUAGGAGACUUUUACUUAAAUAUCCCAUAUUUGCCUCAAUUAAAAAUCCAUAUCGCUUAACAUGAUCUCCUUCCCUGAUUACCUGUAAAUUGCACCCACCAAAUUGAAUUAGAGACAUCAAUUCGUAGGACCCAAAAAUCUCUUAUUUCCUGGUAUCUUGCUAAUUUGCAUUUUCCACCGCCAAAACCCAAUCUGAUCAUUGAAUAAGAUUACUGUUUGGGUUAAAACUUGAACUUUGGGCUUAAAAGGAGGGUUAGCCCAAAAGGAGAUCCAGAAGGAAGGAAGACGAAGCCCAGCCGAAGCCCAAAAGAAGAAAGAAGCCAUUUUCCCGACUAAGUGCAGAUCACUUAAGCCACUUGCUCACCUACCUAGAGAUCAAGUGGUGUAGACUAGCCAGCUAAUCAUCCCAAAAGUACUUUAUAAUGGCAGUACAAGUAAAAACCUAAUGAGUCACUAGCCUUCAGCUGCAUUCGGGCAAGAUUAAUGCUGCAGGCAACUAAGCCAAAUUGUCUAUAAAAAGAGAAAGAGAAAUUAGAGAUAGGGACACUCAAACAAACAAACAACUACACAAACUCUGCUCAAGCCAGAUUUGCAUACGAAGCUGUAGUCAGCACCAAGCCUUCAUCAUUUUCGGGAUCAACCUUCACCAAAAAACCUUUGUAAAAGCUCUGCUACCCUGUCUAAAUCUUGUUGUAGUAUCGAUUCCCUUCUGUAAACUCAUCCCCCAAUCUCCCAUUCUAGCACUCAAAUCCUUUGUAAAUCACAAAGAGAGGAAGUUGCAAGAUGAUCAGCCUUGCCCGACCCUCUUUGUUUUGUCUUUUCAUUCAUAAAUCUAGUAAUGUGUUGUAUACUUCCAUCUGCAUCCAAGUUAUUUCUGGCAAAUUUAUGAUUAAAAGACUUCUAAGUUCUAACCUUUCGGGCAUACAAGAUUGAUCAAUUAAAAGUCCUUAGUCUCAAGGCAUAAAACAAGAACUUUAUGUGGACUUAACCCAUCCAUGACAAUCCUUGAUAACAAGAAGUCCGAAGUUACUUGGGGUGCAAGUAAUCAGCCUAUUUCUCAGUUUUACUUCUGUUAUAUUAUGAUUGCCAUAGAACGCUUGAGUAUAGAAUUAAAUUAACUCUAAUGGGAAGCCUCAAGGGCUAUACCUAAGGCCCUACAAAGGCACCUAUCUGGGUUCAUUCUGUUCUUCGGGCAUGGGCGAUUAGAGGAUAACAGUUGUGAUAUGUCUGCAACAAUGAAACAACCAAUAUAUAUUCGAGUACUUAGUUAGUUUUUGAUUGGAAGCCUCAAUGCCUACACCUAAGGCCCUACAAAGGCACCUUUCAUAGCUAACUUGGUCCCUCGGGCAUAUAUAACAUAUGUUUUACAUCUGUCAUGCUAAAGAUGGCAGUGGCACGCCUGAACACCUAAAGUUAAUUUUGAUUAUGAGCCUCAAGGCCUACACCUAAGGCCCCACAAAGGUAUUUUUCAGAAUUAACUCUAUCCUUUUCUUACAGCCCGCCAAUAUGCAGAAGCCUGACGGAUAAUAUCAACCGGUGCCAACCUCUCGGGAAGCUGUGUGCUCACUGGCCAGGAAACGUCCCCAUCGGAAAUUCCUCCAGACGAACAAUUACUAUAUUCAUCUUCUUACCCGACUCGUCGACUCUAAUUUGAUCAAGAAAAACAAUUUGUCGUUCUUCAGUCGAUGUCACACCUUCAAUGGAAAAGCAGUCUACCUGUCGUACCAUCUACUCGCAAGAUCACCGACUGAAAUUAGUUGUACAAGUGUGAUUUAGCUAUCUGGCUUCUUGUUACUAUCUUUGCCUUUUAAGUGCCUCGUGCUUUUCCUCUUCUUUCCUUCUCAAUGCUAAGAAUCUCAAAGGAUAUGUCCAAGAAGAUAGGCCCCACUGCCAAACAAAACCAAAAGUUAACAUCCAAUUUACCAAAAGUAAGUUUGAUAUGACACGAAAAUAUAUUAACUUCUUAGCACUUUACUAGCAUUGUCUUAAUAUUUCACCCUUGACAAUAUUGCAUCCACAUCCCAAAUUAUUAAAGAAUUAAGCAAAACACUCUAAUUAGCUCGAAAAGGACACACUAUAGCACUAACAAAUAUGAGUUUAAGAGUAAUAAAUGUAAUAACUAUGCGUCUAUCACCAACCAAACAGCCUAAAAAGUUUGUGACUCAUUGCACAUCUGCAAAACAUUUUCCUUCACUUACAAAGUGGCAAGAAGAAGGGUGGUAAACCACAUGACAAUAAAGAAGAAAUAUGACUACCUCUUGAAGCCAAUUUACACAACAAAAAAGGCCACCUACGUCGAAUGACCUGAGAGAGGGAAAAUAUCAACUACAAAAACAAACAGAAAAGAGAGGGGGAGGGAAAAAUGUAAGAACAGCUUUGAAACCAACACACAGCCCGCACACAGAGAGAGCUCUUAGGACAUAAACCUUAACAUUUUACCUGCAAGCCCACUGUCUAAGAUAACAACACCAAAUCAUUGUAUCCCUUCAGAAAUAUAACACGAUGCUUCACCUUGACCCAGUGACCAAUGAUGUUGGGCAAUAACACAUAUAUAUUAGAGAAAACAAUACAAUAGGUUAUAGAGAAUAUGAAGGUAAAAUAUACGGUGGUUGUAUAUUGAAAUCAACCAUUACAACCCCUCUGGGUCUAAAUCAUUGAAGAAGAAAUAUCUACAGUAGUUUGGAAGCAUGAAACUCCAUGCAAAAAGUAGAUUAACGUGGGUCAACUACAUCUUCAUGGUGCCAAGAAAACAACCACAAUGGUAUUGCUAUUCAUAGGAAUAUUGAACACCCUUUGUACAAUAUACGAACAGUUAAGGAUUGAUUCAGUCAAUUUUGAAGCAAAAGAAAAAACCUUUGUACAAAUAAGCAUUAUUAAUACCUUGUGAAAUCGCAAUGUGAUUUUGACACUGUAAAACUCUAAAACGUUGAGCGAAUGAAUGAAUGUGCACUUCUGUAUCCCAAUCCUCUCCAAGAUAGAAAAGGAUAAUUAUCCAUUGUAGGAGCGAUUGGGAGAACCAAAACAAAAAUCAAAAGGAGUUAUUAACUUAUGAAUUAAGAAUUAAACUUAAAAUUAAAAAAAAAAAAUCCAAAACCAUUCCUCUUUAUAACUGUUCCGCUCUGUUCGCAAAG